UACGUAGGGUCCGAGCGUUGUCCGGAAUUAUUGGGCGUAAAGAGCUCGUAGGCGGUUUGUCGCGUCUGCUGUGAAAUCCCGAGGCUCAACCUCGGGCCUGCAGUGGGUACGGGCAGACUGGAGUGCGGUAGGGGAGAAUGGAAUUCCUGGUGUAGCGGUGGAAUGCGCAGAUAUCAGGAGGAACACCGGUGGCGAAGGCGGUUCUCUGGGCAUGUUCUGACGCUGAGGAGCGAAAGUGUGGGGAGCGAACAGG
rnacentral:rRNA from 1 species